UUGCCGUCGCCAAUGCCUCCACUUUUGCGACGGCAAAAACUGAGGGGUCGCGAUUGUGCAAAAUAUUUGCGACGGUAACAACUGCCGUCGCCACUGGGCGUGGCAAACCCAAUGGUUUACUUCGGAAAGAGUUAGCCGUAGUAAAAUAAUAUGCUUACGAUAUGUUUGUUGCAGGAGAUUACUAUCCCACCUAAAUCUAGUCGCUAACCCUAAUCCCUCAUUCCCUCAGCCUCUAUUCGAGAUUUCGACUGACCCUGACCCUCAGCCUCUCUUCGACUCACUCCCUCUGUCCCUCAGAUUCAGUCGCCGCCGACCCACCGCAAAGUUCGACAGUUCGGCCUUAUCUCUAAGCUAGCUUUAACCUCUCAGUCAGUCAUCUCACUCCCUCAGCCUCUCAGUCUCAGUCUUCCUAUUCGUAAUCUCGAACCGCUGAACCGCCGACCCACGGCUUUGCUUCGACCCACUUCUUAAAUCUUACUCUUGGAGAGUUGGAGUCUUGGGGAGAGCGGAGGCCGGAACUCAGGAAGACGAGCAGUCGGAGUAGACAGGAGGAAGGAGGUGAGAAACUGAGAACGUGCGGACUGUGAAUCUGUGAGUCUUCAUUUGAAAAUUGAAAUUGCUUUGUGGGUUGUGGCUUCUUUGGUUAAUUGAUUAUAUAUUUAUAUGCAGCUAAGCAGCUUGAUCAGUUUUUUUUUAAUUAUAAUUUAUAUGCUUGAUUGCUUGGCUGCUUCGUUGAAAGACAGAGAGGGAUGGAAAUUGCUUUGUGGCCUUGUGGCUUGUUUGAUUAAUGAAUAAUGAUUAUAUAUUUAUAUGAGUCUGUGUCUCUGUGUAUCAGUGUAUGAAAGACACAAAUGGUCAAAUGGAAUUGGUCAAUUGGAUUGGAUAAUUAUGUUUGGUCAUGGAAAUGUUUGGUCAAUUGGAUUGGAUAAAAAUAUAUAUAUUUCUGUUUGUAGUGCAAUGCCAUCAGGUUUUUCACCACAAUACUCAUCGGCGUACUUUUUGGUGUCAUCUUCUGGAAGAAAGGAAACGUGUUAGGGAAACAACAAGAUAUUCUUAACCUUCUGGGAGCAACCUAUUCUGCUGUUCUUUUCCUUGGAGAGGGAAAUGCUUCUGCUGUGCAAUCUGUGGUUGCGAUUGAGAGAACAGUUUUCUACCGAGAAAGAGCAGCAGGAAUGUAUUCAGAGUUGCCUUAUGCAUUUGCUCAGGUGGCCAUUGAGACGAUUUAUGUUGCUAUACAAACCAUCAUUUAUUCCUUUCUUU